rnacentral:rRNA from 1 species
GAUUGACACAUCGUACACUGUUAGGUGGAUGACUAGGCUCGGAACGCCGAAGAAGGACGUGACAAGCAACGAUAUGCUCUGGCGAGUUGAACGUAAGCUUUGAACCAGAGAUUUCCGAAUGAGUCUUCUCAUUAGGGCCUUAUAGGCCAGGGAACGCAGGGAAUUGAAGCGUCUUGGUACCUGCAGGAAAAGAAAUCAAAGAGAUGCCGUUAGUAAGAGCGACCGAAAGCGGCCAAGUUCAAACUGAAUUCAUUAUAGUAAUAUAAUGGAGAUGUGGUGCAUGGACUUACCUUAUAACCUAUUUCUAAACUUGAAGUUUUCUGGAAAGAAACACUUAAGAGGGUGAUAGUCCCGUAAAGGAAUAGAAGUAGGUUUUAGUGAGUAUCCGGAGUACCAUUCCUUGAAAUUGGAGUGGGAAGAUGGGGGGCAUUAACCUCUAAAACUAAACACGUGCCGAAUCCGAUAGAAAAAGAGUACCGUGAGGGAAAGUUGAAAAGAACCCGCGAUAGGGAG